UUCCUAUAAAUGAUGCUAGACUACCCAGCCAGCCAGCCCAUCCAAAGGGGCAAAUCAAUCUGGAUCGCACGUUUUGACCUCUACAGUAAAAUCUUGUUCCCACUUUCUACCACAGCCGUCGGAUGCGCUUACUUUUCUUUUACCAGUUGCUUCUGCUGCUGCGUGCAUGGCGGCUGGGCCAGAGCGUGUGCGGGUCCGGCCAACAGACACAGCGAAACGUGCUUGUUCGCGUCGCCUUAUUUCGCUUUCAUUUUCGACCGGGUGAAAACCCUAGCUUUCUCCCCACCCGUCCCCAAUCAUCCGCCUCCUUCCUCCUCCCCCAAUCCCGCUUCUGCUCCUCCCCAUCACAUCCCUCCUCUGCUCCUCGUUCAAUCCCCACCUCGUCCUCUCCUCCUUCCCUAAUCCACGGGAGGAGCGCUCGAGUGACGGAGACGGCUGGACGCGGGAGCUGGCAGCGGCAGGGCUCGCGUGCCUAGCGACGACGGUGGCUGGACGGCGCGGUGGAAGGCGGCGGCUGGACGGGGUAGUGGAAGGCGGCGCGCGCCAGCCCUGGCAGUGGUUUCCUUCAUCUCCACGCCGCGGUUGGCGGCGCAGAGAUGGGCGACGAGUUCUACCUCCGACCGAGAUCUGGGCGUAUGACCAGGUGCGUGUGGGUUCGGCGGUUCCAAGGCAAGAGAGGGCGAUGGUGUGGGGAAGGAGCGGAGAGGCUGGCGGCAGCGGGUAAGAAGCAGUGGGGCGGCGAUGGUGGCCGAAUCGGAUUGCACCACCAUCUUCUUCCUCCUGCACAUUCCGAGAUCCCAACAUCGAUGGGGGAGAGAGGCCAACGUGCCUGUGUGGUGGGAUUGAGCGGGCAAGGGCAAGGUCAUGGGCUGGUGAAUCGGGCAAUAGCCAAUCUGGUGGACAACAGCGGCUGUCUGCAGGAGGACAAUGGCUGUCAUAAUUGAUGGAGGAGGACGACGGGCAUCAGCACGCUAGCCUGGUCUCUGCUCGAUCAAGGUGACCACGUCUUCGUGUGGCCUACUCCCCAGUUUCAUCCUGGGCAUUUCCCAAAUCUUUUGGCUUGUUUUGAUCCCUGUUUGGCCUGUGGAGGACUUGUUUGAGGAUAUACCUGUGACCAUAAGCUAAUGCGUUCUUGUGCCUGUUCUGGAUUUGUUUGGCCGUUUUCAGUUGUAAUCUCGAUGUGCUCCUUGAGCACUGAAAAUGAGUUAAUUCUGAAGUAAAGGUACAUUGAUUCACCCUGUUGCUACCUUUAUUGGUGUAGUGACCAUCUAGGAAGUAAUCAAGGUCUUCAAUGUGUUCCAGAAAGAAAGAUGAGGCUGCCUUUUACUUAUUGUGUCGGAAGGAUGCAACACCAUUGAAGGCACUACUUUAAUCUAUUACGAUUGGUAAGAUGAUUGUCAUUGACUUAUUUUCUGAUGUCAAACCGAUACAACAAAUAUCCUCUCAGUUCUAUAUGGAAUAUUGGAAUGUAUGGAGUUCUAGAUUCAAUUCCAUCUGGCCAUACUGAUGCAUGUGCAAGGUUUGUGUUGGCAUGUGCAUGGAGGAAAUACUAGAGCAUAAUCCAGUUGUUUAUAUCUAAAUGGCAUUCGUAGUCAAAGGGUUUAGGUUGAGGUACUUGGUAAAUGGAACACGGUUAACCCAGACAAUAGGCUUGCUCCAUCGGAAAAAAUGGUAUCGUGGCUAGAAAAGAGAAUGUGCAGAAAGCUUCCGGCCUUCCCUAUAUAUUUCCAGCAGAGAAUAUAUGCAAGACCCCUGUAUACCUGUCAGAAGGCCAGCUUUCAGAUGGAUCAUCUAUCGUAUGAGUACCAAAUUGCUUCACUAAAUAUGCAUGCUCGCUUGCCCUUCUGUUUAUUGUUUUACUACUACAUGAUUUUGUAGAGUAUUAGCUGAAGGAAGUGCGAUGAAACUCUGGAAGAGCAAUUAAAGAAACAGAUUUCAGCUUCCUAAUGGAUGGCAUUUGGCUUAUGAAGUAAAAAAGAUAUCCCGCUGGCAGGGCAAUAUUUUGGUUGACCUCAUUCUCUUCUUUCCUCAAGGCUAUAAGUGAUGUGAUGUAGCAGAAAUGAAUGAUCUGUGGAUGACUAUAUGGCUUGCAAGAGACUGAGAUUGUCACACCAUGAGAGUAUGCAAAGGUCCUCCGUUCUGAUGAAAAAUUUGACAUUGCAAGAGCCAAUGAUAUCUGAAUUUGAGUGUUCUAAUAUUGUACAACAGCAGUACUUGGAGGUGUUCUGGUAGCUGUGAAUCAACUGUGAGGUUUUCCUUAAUUAGAUUGAUGCCUUCAACGAUAAGUUGCAAGAGCUUCUCCAUAAAUGCUAAAUGGCAGCUGAUGGAGUGUAAUUAUUUGGGUUCACGAGAAGCUUUUUGUUUCUCUCUCGAAGAUGCAGUAGAUUUAUUUAGGGGCUUGUCGUUUUAUGAUUUUUCACACUAGAUCACCGUCUCGACCUGCGUCUUCAGUUCCGUCUCUGCCCAUGACAUUGGGAAUGGCUAUGGUUGGGCUUCAAGCAUGGCAGGAUUAGGACCUGCAAGGAAGACGAGUCGCCCCAGCCAUGGCCAUGGUUCCACCGACUCCCCCACAUGCCUCCACUGUUGAUAAGUUAAUUGACAGAUCUAUCUUAAUACUGAAGACUAAAAUUCUUAGAACUGUGCCAUGCCACUUCUCUAAUUAUUGUUCGUGUGUUAUUCAGAAAACCUCUUACGAUGCAAACAAGGACCUGUCAUGUUUGGAUCCUUCAGCACUAUCCCUGAGCAGCGAAUUCCAGUUUCUGUUUUGAAUCUUCUUUUGAUCACGAAGAUUCUUUCUGUACCGGCAAGACCUCAGAUUCAACCAAUGUUGUGUUGCAGGCUUGCUAAUCUGCAAUUUCUGCUAUCAUGUAAUUUGAGGUAUAUCUUUCAGAGAAAAUAAGAAAAUCUCAUUCUAAGGAGGUAUGAGCUAUAUUUGCUUCGCUAAAUGUCAAUGUAUUUUGUCACAUUAUUUUAGUUAAAAUGUUUUCUUGAUGAGGAGGUUAUGAAAAUAUAUAAAAUUAAAAUAAGUUAAGCUAGGAUUAUAAUGCUUGCUCUUGCGAUUAAUUAGUUUUCAAAGUGCUCAUUAGUGCUCUGUUCCCAAGGUUGCUGCAAAAAAAGGGUACAAACUUCUCCUGCUUGAACACAAGUACUUUGCCCCUCAAGUUUGUGGUCUAUUAUUCAGGGGUCUGAUGUCAUGUUUACAACUGGUUCGUUGUCAAGAUUAGGCCAAUUACUCCUUGCUGUCAAAUGUCUAUGCAAGCUCCUCCUUUUACAAUGAAACUACAUUAUUUCGUUUUCAUGGGGCCCAGAAUCAGUUCCUUACCGUAUGGGAGUAUGCAUUUAAUUUACCUACUGGUUUUCAUUUUAUAAAUAGAGAUAGUGUGCUGCUACAGAGGCAGAGAGCGUCCCUGAGAGAUUUCAAUGAUUGAUUCUCGAUGUUGCUUAUGUAGUUUGAGCUUGAAAUAUGAGUCAAAGUCUGAAUAGUCUGCUCAAGAUUCUUCAAUUUUUGUAUGUGUGUUACGUGCGUUGCUUUAAAUACGAGCUUUAAAUUACAAUCAAUCUAUGUGUCAUGUAGCUCCACUGUCCAACUACACCAUUCCACAUUAUUACUCUUAAACUGGUCGACACCUGACUACUGAAGCUCCCAACUGGCUUUUAGAUUUUGCCUCUGACAUUUUGUUAACAUUUGCCUCUGAUCUGGCUUAUGAUUCAUGAGCUCUUACCAUCUAAUUUGUUUAGUUGUGUUAUUUAAUUUAAUCUCCUGUGAAUAAGUAUCCAAAAUUUAUUUAUUUGUACUCGUGCUAUGUUUUUGCUUAUUUUAUAAUUGCCUAUGAUUUACUCGUGCCAUUCCUGUUGUUAUGGUUUGUAAAUGUGGUCUUAAUGAAAAGACCAUUUUAUCUGCGGGUUUGGUAUAAACGGAUACUUCUCGAUUGUCCUCUUUUUGGUAGUUUGCCUUUUUGUAAUUUCUAGGUAUAACUUUCAGAGAACAAGCAAUCAUAUGAGCUUGCUUCCCUGAAUGUCCAUAUAUUUGGUAGUUAGGCUUAAAUAUUAUCGCCUUGGAGCUGGCAAUGGUCGCCGCCUCAACUGUCUUCCGCUCCCCUCUUCGAGUCAGACAUCAAUAUAUUGGUGCUUUGCAGGUGCUAAUGUGGAUAUACAUUUCAUUCCAAAAACUCAAGAGGGCUGAUUCAAUUCCAAACAUGCAGUCAAUUAUUGCUGCUUUAGAUGGGUUUUGCAAAUAUACGUGUGUAUGGCAUAUUGGCCUUUCUUAGGAGUUGCUUUCUGGAUUUGCUCGCUGCUAUAUGGAUCUAUUAUUUCAAGAAAUGAUGUUAUACAGUGAUUUGCACCAUCUUUGGCCUUUUAACCGCUUGAUUUGAAUUUUUAAAUGGAGUCAAAUAGUGUCCCUCCAUCUUAACAUGCCACCCAUUUAUCAUGUGUGGCGUGUAAUUUAAGAGGGCAUGAGUGCAUGACAUGUGCAUUGCUGAUUACAGGGUGUUGUAAAGAAUAUCAUCCUGGCCAUGCAAUUAUUUCUGCUGCUUGUGCAUUGGAAGCUUUAAAGCUCUUCUCUGGCUGCAGCAGAAGUGUGUCAAAUUAUCUCACGUAAUAGGCACCUGGAAGUUGAACUCACCCUCUGAUUACAGGGCGAUGCAAGUAUUUUCAUAUACAGACUUCUCUUCCUUUUCCGGGAGCCGCAUACAGUCGGUUCGGACGUAUUUACAUGUAGUAUGUAUGGCAGUUGCAGCAGCUUGCCAAUUAGUACCCACCAAAGUUUUGGCGGUUCAUCUUCUCCGAGCAAAGCAUAGGCCACGGAUCCGCUGCUCUUCUCUAAUUUUGUAGCAGCCUGACAGUUGGCGAGAGAACAGUUCAAGACGGGGCUACCUUACCGGAGAUCUUGACGGUUUAGAGUUGGAAUGCCCAAAUUCUAAUUUUCUGUUUAGCCCAUUUGCCUUAUUUAUAUGUUUUUUAUAGCUUAGACACCAUCAGAGUAGAACUAAACAUAUUAUUGCAACAUGGGCUAUUUACUAUGCAGCGAUUUUUUGAUUCUAUCAUACAUUGUACUGCUAUUGGUGAUUUUGUGAUCAACUUCGUAUGCAACCAAAGUAUCAGUUAUCUA